UAACCUCACUCUCGUCAUUGGUGUCUAGC
rnacentral:piRNA from 1 species